rnacentral:rRNA from 1 species
GAUGAACGCUAGCGAUAGGCCUAACACAUGCAAGUCGAGGGGCAUCACAUGAAGUAGCAAUACGGAUGGUGGCGACCGGCGCACGGGUGAGUAACACGUAUGCAACCUGCCUUCAACAAGGGGAUAACCCGUCGAAAGACGGACUAAUACCCUAUAACACAGGGGUCCCGCAUGGGGAUAUUUGUUAAAGGACAACCGGUUGAAGAUGGGCAUGCGUUCCAUUAGCUAGUUGGCGGGGUAAGGGCCCACCAAGGCAACGAUGGAUAGGGGAACUGAGAGGUUUAUCCCCCACACUGGUACUGAGACACGGACCAGACUCCUACGGGAGGCAGCAGUGAGGAAUAUUGGUCAAUGGACGCAAGUCUGAACCAGCCACGUCGCGUGAAGGAAGACGGCCCUACGGGUUGUAAACUUCUUUUGCAAGGGAAUAAAGUGGGCCACGUGUGGCCUUUUGCAAGUACCUUGCGAAUAAGGAUCGGCUAACUCCGUGCCAGCAGCCGCGGUAA